rnacentral:rRNA from 1 species
AUUGAACGCUGGCGGCAGGCCUAACACAUGCAAGUCGAGCGGAGCGGCGGACGGGUGAGUAAUGCCUAGGAAUCUGCAUGGGAGUGGGGGAUAACGGCCGGAAACGAGCGCUAAUACCGCAUACUAUCAGAUGAGCCUAGGUAGGUUUCGCUGGUGGAUGGGGUAAAGGCGUACCAAGGCGACGAUCCGUAACUGGUCUGAGAGGAUGAUCAGUCACACUGGAAGCGUGACACGGUCCAGACUGCUACGCGAGGCAGCAGUGGGUAAUAUUGGACAAUUGGUGAAAGCCUGGUCCAGCCCUGCAGCUUGUGUGAAGAAGGUCUUCGGAUUGUAAAGCACUUUAAGUUGGUCGGCGUUACCCACAGAAUAAGCACCUGCUAACUUCGUGCCAGCAGCCGCGGUAAUUC